rnacentral:lncRNA from 1 species
UAGCAAGGGCACUGGAUAUAGAUAAGCUUAGGAAGAAUUGUUCCAGGUAGUAGGCGCCCUCAGCCGCCACCGCGUCCGCCGUGUCCCUCGCGUCCCCGGCUGCCGUCAAACCCAUGCCCAACGCCUCUUCCAGGACCCUCACGGCGGAGCUGGGCAUCCCUCGCUGAGCAGCCAUCUCUGGCGCUUCGGGCCCCCACCCCCAGCAGGCCCACAGCCGUCCCUAAGGGCAACAGCGAAGACG